rnacentral:misc_RNA from 1 species
AACGCACCUUGCGCCUCAUGGUAUUCCGUGAGGCAUGCCUGUUUGAGUGUCAUUAAAUUAUCAAUACUCUACUUUUUACAAGUAAAGCGUUGCAUUUGAGGUGUGCUGAGGCGAAAGCCUUGGCUCCCUUUUAAAUACAUUAGCGGAGAAACUCAUCUCUGGCUACUAUCAAUGUGAUAAUCAUCUUACAUUGUUAGUACUAGUCCCGAGUCCGCUCAGAAUCGUCGCCCUAGGUGACAGCUUAUGACAAUUUGACCUCAAAUCAGGUAGGACUACCCGCUGAACUUAA